rnacentral:rRNA from 1 species
AUUGAACGCUGGCGGCAGGCCUAACACAUGCAAGUCGGACGGUAGCACAGAGGAGCUUGCUCCUCGGGUGACGAGUGGCGGACGGGUGAGUAAUGUCUGGGGAUCUGCCCGAUAGAGGGGGAUAACCACUGGAAACGGUGGCUAAUACCGCAUAACGUCGCAAGACCAAAGAGGGGGACCUUCGGGCCUCCCACUAUCGGAUGAACCAAGAUGGGAUUAGCUAGUAGGCGGGGUAACGGCCCACCUAGGCGACGAUCCCUAGCUGGUCUGAGAGGAUGACCAGCCACACUGGAACUGAGACACGGUCCAGACUCCUACGGGAGGCAGCAGUGGGGAAUAUUGCACAAUGGGCGCAAGCCUGAUGCAGCCAUGCCGCGUGUAUGAAGAAGGCCUUCGGGUUGUAAAGUACUUUCAGCGGGGAGGAAGGCGAUGUGGUUAAUAACCGCAUUGAUUGACGUUACCCGCAGAAGAAGCACCGGCUAACUCCGUGCCAGCAGCCGCCGUAA